UAACGCUGCCGGCGUGCCUAAUUCAUGCAAGUCGACCGGACAGAUGGGAGCUUGCUCCCUGAUGUUAGCGGCGGACGGGUGAGUAACACGUGGGUAACCUGCCUGUAAGACUGGGAUAACUCCGGGAAACCGGGGCUAAUACCGGAUGGUUGUUUGAACCGCAUGGUUCAGACAUAAAAGGUGGCUUCGGCUACCACUUACAGAUGGACCCGCGGCGCAUUAGCUAGUUGGUGAGGUAACGGCUCACCAAGGCAACGAUGCGUAGCCGACCUGAGAGGGUGAUCGGCCACACUGGGACUGAGACACGGCCCAAACUCCUACGGGAGGCAGCAGUAGGGAAUCUUCCGCAAUGGACGAAAGUCUGACGGAGCAACGCCGCGUGAGUGAUGAAGGUUUUCGGAUCGUAAAGCUCUGUUGUUAGGGAAGAACAAGUGCCGUUCAAAUAGGGCGGCACCUUGACGGUACCUAACCAGAAAGCCACGGCUAACUACGUGCCAGCAGCCCGCGGUAAUACGUAGGUGGCAAGCCGUUGUCCGGAAUUAUUGGCCGUAAAGGGCCCC
rnacentral:rRNA from 1 species